rnacentral:rRNA from 1 species
AACCAGGAUGUUGGCUUAGAAGCAGCCAUGCAUUUAAAGAGUGCGUAACAGCUCACUGGUCAAGUGGACAUGCGCCGACAAUUCACGGGGCUAAGCAUGGUACCGAAGCGGCGGACUAAUCUAUAUUAGUGGUAGGGGAGCUUUCCCCGCAGCGGAGAAGCCGAGAGGGCGACCCUCGGUGGAGCGCGGGGAAGUGAGAAUGCUGGCAUGAGUAACGAGAGCGGCGCGAGAAACGCCGCCGCCGUAAGCCUAAGGGUUCCUGGGCAAGGCUAAUCCUCCCAGGGUCAGUCGGGAGCUAAGGCGAGGCCGAGAGGCGUAGCCGAUGCGCAACAGGCGGACAUUCCUGUACCGCCUGCGGACCGCUAUCACCGACGGGGUGACGGAGAAGGGUAGCCGAGCGGGGUUCUGGACGUCCCCGUGAAAGCGCGUAGGGCGCGGAGCAUGGAAAUCAGCUCCGCAGAAAGCCUGAGACGCGAGACGAAAGCUUAUGCUGAAGUCGGCGAGCCCAUGCUUCCGAGAAAAACCUCUAGGAAGGGACGCAGGCGCCCGUACCAAAACCGACACAGGUGGGCAGGUAGAGCAUACCGAGGCGAUCGGGAGAACCAUGGUUAAGGAACUCGGCAUACUGACUCCGUAACUUCGGGAGAAGGAGUGCCCCUGGCGGUGACGGGACUUGCUCCCCGAGCGGCCGGGGGUCGCAGCGAAACGGCCCAAGCGACUGUUUAUCAAAAACACAGGACUCUGCAAAGCCGUAAGGCGACGUAUAGGGUCUGACGCCUGCCCGGUGCUGGAAGGUUACGCGGAUGGGUCAGCCGCAAGGCGAAGCUCUGAAGCCAAGCCCCAGUAAACGGCGGCCGUAACUAUAACGGUCCUAAGGUAGCGAAAUUCCUUGUCGGGUAAGUUCCGACCUGCACGAAUGGCGUAACGAUUUGGGCGCUGUCUCAACCAUGGACCCGGUGAAAUUGUAUUAUUCGUGAAGAUGCGAAUUACCUGCGGAAGGACGGAAAGACCCCGUGAACCUUUACUGCAGCUUGACAUUGAUCGUUGGCUCGGCGCGUAGAGGAUAGGCAGGAGGCUGCGAAGCCCGGGCGCCAGCCCGGGCGGAGCCGACCUUGGAAUACUGCCCUCGUCGCGUCGGCGAUCUAACCCCCGGCCGUGAUCCGGCGGGGGGACCGUGUCAGGCGGGUAGUUUGACUGGGGCGGUCGCCUCCCAAAACGUAACGGAGGCGCGCAAAGGUCCGCUCAGAACGGUCGGCAACCGUUCGCAGAGCGCAAGAGUACAAGCGGGCUUGACUGCGAGGCCCACAAGCCGAGCAGAGACGAAAGUCGGUUCUAGUGAUCCGGCGGCACAGAGUGGAAUGGCCGUCGCUCAACGGAUAAAAGGUACUCCGGGGAUAACAGGCUGAUCUUGCCCAAGAGUCCACAUCGACGGCAAGGUUUGGCACCUCGAUGUCGGCUCAUCGCAUCCUGGGGCUGAAGUCGGUCCCAAGGGUAUGGCUGUUCGCCAUUUAAAGCGGUACGCGAGCUGGGUUCAGAACGUCGUGAGACAGUUCGGUCCCUAUCCUCCGCAGGCGCAAGAGGAUUGAGGAGGUCUGCCCCUAGUACGAGAGGACCGGGGUGGACGGACCUCUGGUGCAGCAGUUGUCGACCAACGGCACGGCUGCCUAGCUACGUCCGGCACGGAUAACCGCUGAAAGCAUCUAAGUGGGAAGCCGUCUCCAAGAUGAGUCCUCUUUCCGGUAAGGGCCCAGGCAGAACACCUGGUCGAUAGGCCGCAGGUGCAAGGCGUGCGAGCGCCUCAGCCGAGCGGUACUAAUAGCCCGAGCUCUUCUUCCA